UAAGCGGAGGAAAAGAAACUAACAAGGAUUCCCUUAGUAACGGCGAGUGAACCGGGAAGAGCUCAAAUUUGAAAUCUGGCUGUCUUCGAUAGUCCGAGUUGUAAUCUAUAGAAGCGUUUUCCGUGCUGAACUGUGUAUAAGUCCCUUGGAACAGGGUAUCAAAGAGGGUGACAAUCCCGUACUUUACACAAUCAUCAGUGCUCUGUGAUACGUUCUCUACGAGUCGAGUUGUUUGGGAAUGCAGCUCAAAAUGGGUGGUAAAUUCCAUCUAAAGCUAAAUAUUGGCGAGAGACCGAUAGCGAACAAGUACCGUGAGGGAAAGAUGAAAAGCACUUUGGAAAGAGAGUUAAACAGUACGUGAAAUUGUUAAAAGGGAAACGAUUGAAGUCAGUCGUGUUUAUUGGAUUCAGCCGGUCUUCGGUGUACUUCCUUUAAACGGGUCAACAUCAGUUUUGUCCGGUGGAUAAAGGCAGUAGGAAUGUGGCUCCCUCGGGAGUGUUAUAGCCUAUUGUCACAUACACUGGAGGAGACUGAGGACUGCAGCUCGCCUUUUGGCCGGGCGUUGCGCC
rnacentral:rRNA from 1 species